CAGUCGCCGCGGGAAUACAGAGGGUGCAAGCGUUAAUCGGAAUUACUGGGCGUAAAGCGCGCGUAGGUGGUUUGUUAAGUUGGAUGUGAAAUCCCCGGGCUCAACCUGGGAACUGCAUCCAAAACUGGCAAGCUAGAGUAUGGUAGAGGGUGGUGGAAUUUCCUGUGUAGCGGUGAAAUGCGUAGAUAUAGGAAGGAACACCAGUGGCGAAGGCGACCACCUGGACUGAUACUGACACUGAGGUGCGAAAGCGUGGGGAGCAAACAGGAUUAGAUACCCCAGUAGUCCCUGUCUCUUAUCC
rnacentral:rRNA from 1 species